CCUACGGGUGGCAGCAGUGGGGAAUAUUGGGCAAUGGGCGCAAGCCUGACCCAGCAACGCCGCGUGAAGGAAGAAGGCUUUCGGGUUGUAAACUUCUUUUCUCAGGGACGAAGCAAGUGACGGUACCUGAGGAAUAAGCCACGCCUAACUACGUGCCAGCAGCCGCGGUAAUCCGUAGGUGGCAAGCGUUCUCCGGAUUUACUGGGUGUAAAGGGCGUGUAGGCGGGACUGCAAGUCAGAUGUGAAAACCACGGGCUCAAACUGUGGCCUGCAUUUGAAACUGGAGGUCUUGAGUACUGGAGAGGCAGACGGAAUGCCUAGUGUAGCGGUGAAAUGCGUAGAUAUUAGGAGGAACCCCAGUGGCGAAGGCGGUCUGCUGGACAGCAACUGACGCUGAGGCGCGAAAGCGUGGGGAGCAAACAGGAUUAGAUACCCGGGUAGUC
rnacentral:rRNA from 1 species